rnacentral:lncRNA from 1 species
CUCCCGGCCGCGGCUCCAGGAGAUGUCCUGGCAGCGUUGGAGCCUCAGUGAGCUCAUUUGUUUUCUGGCUAGGGUAGAUGCCUUAGCGCUUGGAGCCUCAGUGGGCUCAUUUGUUUUCUGGAGUUUUACUUUCGACUCUCUGUCGAAACUGCGCUGCGAAAGCCUGUUCUGUGUUGUUCAGUCUUUGUUUUGUAGUUGAUGUGCAUAAACGCAAAUGGAUUACUCUUUGUUCCUCAGAAUGGCCAGCCUUUGAGGUGGGCUGGCCGCGGGAUGAUACCUUUAACCCCCAAACUAUAUUUCAGGUAAAAGACACCCCAAGGGCCCCCCUUCCUUUCCCCCUCUAACCGCCCGCCGCCACCCCCGCUAGAGGCAGAAGCGGCUGCCGCCGCCUAGGCGGAGGCGGCCCCUGCAGGUCCCCUUAACCUCGGAGGAGAAACAGCUGCCCAAUGAAAUUGAUGCAGCUUGCCCUCUUAAAAGACCUGAAUGGGAUUUUACCACUGAAGCAGUUUAUAAUGUCAGACAGACUGCCAGAUCCUGACAAUGACCCGAAGAUUACAGGCACCUCAGUUCCUGCACCUGGACCAAUGAGCAGAUGCUCAGAUAUGAAACCUGCCGCCUGCCAGAACCUGGCCGAGACUGUGGACGAAGCUGCUGGAAGCUGGAAAAUUGAUUGUACCCCUUUGCCUGGACAAAACAAGGUCAGUCUUUUCCAUGUCCCUCUUCCACAGAGAGAAAAUAAAACCUCUCACAAUAUAGGCCUGGCGAAGAUUGUUGUUCUUUGAGACAGCUGCCUCCAACGGUGAUGGAGAAACUUGGGUUUGGCUAACUGUAUAUGGACUUGCUUCUAACUGGCUUCUGUCACUUUUUAGUAGAUUCGGAUAAAAUAUACCCUUCUCAGAUCUCUGAAAUAUUACUGGUUGUCAGCUUGACAGCAUCAGACAGUCAGAUCCACUAUAGACUAGUCAGUAUGUUAGCUGAUAAAAUAAUGACUAUCUACUGUUCAGGCACAAGCUCAAGGUUUUUAAGUUUAUUUUGGUUGUCAUCUAAGUACAAACUUAAAGGGCUUUUCAUCAGGCCAAAGGCACCUCUGUCCAAUCCAUACCUAGCUCUCUGGACAGAAGAAAAAUGUACAUGCUUAUAGCCCAAAUCUGUAGUUUUUGCUAGGACUCAAAGUUAUAAAUAUGUUCUUGCUGUUUGAACAGAUAUCCAGAUAUCUGCUUUUUCUGCACCGUGGGCUUCUAUAAAUAAGUUUUAACCUCUGUUCCUAGUUUAAAUAUGUCUUAAACAGGUUUCUGCUUCUGACAGACAUCUGAGUACCAGUUGCUGACUUCAGACUGUUCUAAGUAGACUGCGAACCCUAGACUUGCUAUGGAUGUGAACCAGUCUGCUGAUAUGGACACCCCCUAUCUCUGCAACAAUGACUGCUAAUCAGAAGCCCCUGAUGGAUUCCCCAUUGCCUAAAUUCCUUUUUGUUUUUGACUAGCAUUUCAACCUUCUGGGGUCCCUAACUUCGUCCCAAAGUCAGCAGGAAGCAGUUUGGAAAAGAAUUUCGCCGUCCAUUUUCCCUGGUUAAAAUGCUAAGUCAAAAGGAACUCCCUUGCAUGGGGAUGCGAAACGACAGGGGAUGCUAACUGGAAGCCUUCAUCCUCAUGGGACAAGAUUCAGGUAACCAGAGGAUGGCAAAAGGGCUCCACCGGUACCACCUCUAUGCCUCUCCUUAUUUCCUUUACGGAUGAGGGUAAGAAAGCAACAAAAUGACAGAAGGGAUAUGCUUGGGGCCUU